rnacentral:lncRNA from 1 species
GAUUUUGAGAUCUUACAUCUUCUUACCUCUUUUUAGCAUCACCAAGCAUCCCAGGAAUGCUACUUCUGCUCAGUUCUUGGAUGGAGAGGAAUGGAGGAGGAUUUUUGCCUCACUUGUGUUUUCAGGGAAUCUUUUAACUCCGAAAAAUGAAACAAGUAGAAGUACUUUUAAUGGAACAGAAUAAAGCACUGAGCAGGACAAGUCCAGCCUGCGCUUUGAGGAUCCUCGGGCGACUGCUCAACUGUGAGUACAGAUGACAGCAAUUUCCGACGUUCAAUAGUGCUUGCUUCUAAAUUCCUAAAUAGCAUUUCAAAUAAGGAAAAGCUUUAAGGAGGAUUUUUUUAAAUUAUUAUUCACCUGUAGAAAAUACUUGGGGUAUGAUAAUAAAUGUAUAAAGUAAAUAACCCAUAGACAGUCAUGAAAGUUUUGAUUUUUUUUUUUU